rnacentral:rRNA from 1 species
AUGAAAAGAGGGGCUUGGAUUUGUCCCCCGGUGGGUUUUGUGAAACUUAAUGUUGACGCUUCUUUUGAUCAUGAUCUUCUGAAUGGUACGGCGGGGGCUGUCCUGAGGAACGACAAAGGGAAGUUUAUUGCAGGGGGUACUUGGAAAAUUGAUCAUUGCAUCGACGCUCUAACAGCGGAAGCUUGGGCUCUCAGAUUCGGUCUUUCACUAGCGCAACGUGCGGGUUGCAAUCGCUUAGUUAUUAAUUCUGAUAAUUUGGAGGUUAUUGAAACGAUGAAUAAUGGCGGACGGUCAGCAGGAGCAGCGGCGGCAAUCUUUGAUGAUUGCUAUUUUUUGGCGUGUGAUUUUCCUACCUCUAGGUUUGAACAUUGUAAUAGGGAAGCCAAUAAGGUUGCGCACGAGCUUGCUAGGUUGGCUAGAUUUUCUUCUACCAUUGAUUGGUUUGAGGAGCCUAUGUUUGAGAUUGUACCAUUCCUCACAAACGAUGUAUCUGUUAUUUCUGUUGAAUAA